rnacentral:rRNA from 1 species
UACGUAGGUGGCAAGCUUUGUCCGGAUUUACUGGGCGUAAAGAGCGCGCAGGCGGUCGGAUAAGUCGAAUGUGAAAGCCCCCGGCUCAACUGGGGAGGGUCAUUCGAUACUGUUCGACUCGAAGGCAGGAGAGGGAAGUGGAAUUCCCGGUGUAGUGGUGAAAUGCGUAGAUAUCGGGAGGAACACCAGUGGCGAAGGCGACUUCCUGGCCUGUUCUUGACGCUGAGGCGCGAAAGCUAGGGGAGCAAACGGG